rnacentral:rRNA from 1 species
UACGAAGGGGGCUAGCGUUGCUCGGAAUCACUGGGCGUAAAGCGCACGUAGGCGGACUCUUAAGUCGGGGGUGAAAUCCUGGAGCUCAACUCCAGAACUGCCCUUGAUACUGGGAGCCUUGAGUUCGGGAGAGGUGAGUGGAACUGCGAGUGUAGAGGUGAAAUUCGUAGAUAUUCGCAAGAACACCAGUGGCGAAGGCGGCUCACUGGCCCGAUACUGACGCUGAGGUGCGAAAGCGUGGGGAGCAAACAGG